rnacentral:rRNA from 1 species
AGAGUUUGAUCAUGGCUCAGGACGAACGCUGGCGGCGUUAACACAUGCAAGUCGAGCGAGAGCCAGCUGAGGGGUAACCCUCGGCUGGGGACAGCGGCGAACGGGUGCGUAACACGUGGGCAACCUGCCCCUGACACUGGGAUAACCCCGGGAAACCGGAGCUAAUACCGGAUACUCUCGGCCGAUCACAUGGCUGGCCGAGGAAAGGUCCGCCGGUCAGGGAUGGGCCCGCGGCCUAUCAGCUUGUUGGUGGGGUAACGGCCUACCAAGGCGACGACGGGUAGCUGGUCUGAGAGGACGACCAGCCACACUGGAACUGAGAUACGGUCCAGACUCCUACGGGAGGCAGCAGUGGGGAAUAUUGCACAAUGGGCGAAAGCCUGAUGCAGCGACGCCGCGUGAGGGAUGAAGGCCUUCGGGUCGUAAACCUCUUUCGGCAGGGACGAAGCGAUCAGUGACGGUACCUGCAGAAGAAGCCCCGGCUAACUACGUGCCAGCAGCCGCGGUAAGACGUAGGGGGCGAGCGUUGUCCGGAUUUAUUGGGCGUAAAGCGUGCGUAGGCGGCUGCGCAAGUCGGUUGUGAAACCCCGGGGCUCAACCCCGGAACUGCAUCCGAUACUGCGUGGCUAGAGGUAGGUAGGGGAGAUCGGAAUUCCUGGUGUAGCGGAAAUGCGCAGAUAUCAGGAGGAACACCGGUGGCGAAGGCGGAUCUCUGGGCCUUACCUGACGCUCAGGCACGAAAGCUAGGGGAGCGAACAGGAUUAGAUACCCUAGUAGUCC